rnacentral:rRNA from 1 species
CGUGUAGGCGGCUUGUUAAGUCGGAUGUGAAAGCCCUGGGCUCAACCCAGGAAGAGCGUUCGAUACUGGCAAGCUCGAGUACGGGAGAGGGUAGCGGAAUUCCCGGUGUAGAGGUGAAAUUCGUAGAUAUCGGGAGGAACACCAGUGGCGAAGGCGGCUGCCUGGACCGAUACUGACGCUGAGACGCGAAAGCGUAGGGAGCAAACAGGAUUAGAUACCCUGGUAGUCC